GAUGAACGCUGGCGGCGUGCCUAAUACAUGCAAGUCGUGCGGCAGCGAGUUCCUCACUGACGUUCGGAACCGAGUUUGUCAGGUUUGUAAAGUUGAAAGUUCAUAAAGUAAGUUGCGCUAAUGUUGUAGCUCAAACUUUGUAACUUUAAAAACUUUAUAACUUUAUAACUCGAUCAUUCCGAAUGUGAGUGAGGAAUGUCGGCGAGCGGCGGACGGGUGAGUAACGCGUAGGAAUCACCCCAGACUGAGGGAUAACCAGCCGAAAGGUUGGCUAAUACCGCAUAACCUCUUAGGAGAAAAGCUCCGGCGGUUUGGGAAGAGCCUGCGUCCGAUUAGCUUGUUGGCGGGGUAAAGGCCCACCAAGGCGACGAUCGGUAGCUGGUCUGAGAGGAUGAUCAGCCACACUGGAACUGAGAC
rnacentral:rRNA from 1 species